CCCAGGUGUGGGACCUGCCACAGGCCACUGGAAACGCAGGCCUCAGGGCAGCUCACAAGGCAGGCAGCUGGGUGCCCAGACAAUGAGGAGGCUGCCAGGAGGAAAGCUGCUCCGGCCCGGGAGGUGUGGCAUGAACGAGGCUGUUUUGUUGCCCUAGGGAAGAGGUGCAGCCGUGUCCUGGGAAGUGCAGGUGGGCUGACCUCCCCUGCGCACUCGUGCUUGCUACCCAGAGGUACACAGAGAUUGCCUUGCAGGCCCAGCUGCUGAGCUGGGUGCUCUAGUAAGCGGUUAAAAAGUGCAGCACACGACUGGGCGCGGUGACUCAUGCCUGUCAUCCCGGCACUUUGGGAGGCCAGGGCAGGCGGAUCGCCUGAGUCCAGGAGUUUAAAGCCAGCCUGGGCAACAUAGCAGGACCCUGUUUCUACAGAAAAGUUAGUUGAGCAUGGC
rnacentral:lncRNA from 1 species